rnacentral:rRNA from 1 species
CGGAAGCAAGUCGAGCGGCAGCACAAGGGAGUUUACUCCUGAGGUGGCGAGCGGCGGACGGGUGAGUAAUGCCUAGGGAUCUGCCCAGUCGAGGGGGAUAACAGUUGGAAACGACUGCUAAUACCGCAUACGCCCUACGGGGGAAAGAGGGGGACCUUCGGGCCUCUCGCGAUUGGAUGAACCUAGGUGGGAUUAGCUAGUUGGUGAGGUAAUGGCUCACCAAGGCGACGAUCCCUAGCUGUUCUGAGAGGAUGAUCAGCCACACUGGGACUGAGACACGGCCCAGACUCCUACGGGAGGCAGCAGUGGGGAAUAUUGCACAAUGGGGGAAACCCUGAUGCAGCCAUGCCGCGUGUGUGAAGAAGGCCUUCGGGUUGUAAAGCACUUUCAGUAGGGAGGA